rnacentral:rRNA from 1 species
AGAGUUUGAUCAUGGCUCAGGAUGAAGCUAGCUACAGGCUUAACACAUGCAAGUCGAGGGGAAACGACAUCGAAAGCUUGCUUUUGAUGGGCGUCGACCGGCGCACGGGUGAGUAACGCGUAUCCAACCUGCCCACCACUUGGGGAUAACCUUGCGAAAGUAAGACUAAUACCCAAUGACGUCUCUAGAAGACAUCUGAAAGAGAUUAAAGAUUUAUCGGUGAUGGAUGGGGAUGCGUCUGAUUAGCUUGUUGGCGGGGUAACGCCGCAAGGCUACGAUCAGUAGGGGUUCUGAGAGGAAGGUCCCCCANAUUGGAACUGAGACACGGUCCAAACUCCUACGGGAGGCA